rnacentral:rRNA from 1 species
GACGAACGCUGGCGGCGUGCUUAACACAUGCAAGUCGAACGAAGUGGCGAACGGGUGAGUAACGCGUAAUCAACCUGCCCUUCAGAGGGGGACAACAGUUGGACACGACUGCUAAUACCGCAUACUGAAGGAGGGGAUUGCGUCUGAUUAGCUGGUUGGCGGGGUAACGGCCCACCAAGGCGAAGAUCAGUAGCCGGUCCUGAGAGGUGAACGGCCACAUUGGGGCUGGGACACGGCCCAGACUCCUACGGGAAGGAGCAGUGAGGAAACCUCCGCAAUGGACGAAAGUCUGACGGAGGAACGCCGCGUGAGUGAUGACGGCCUUCGGGAUGUAAAGCUCUGUUAAUCGGGACGCGGUACCGGAAUAGAAAGCCACGGCUAACUACGUGCCAGCAGCCGCGGUAAUUC